rnacentral:rRNA from 1 species
UACGGGGGGGGCAAGCGUUGUUCGGAAUUACUGGGCGUAAAGGGCUCGUAGGCGGCCAACUAAGUCAGACGUGAAAUCCCUCGGCUUAACCGGGGAACUGCGUCUGAUACUGGAUGGCUUGAAUCCGGAAGAGGGAUGCGGAAUUCCAGGUGUAGCGGUGAAAUGCGUAGAUAUCUGGAGGAACACCGGUGGCGAAGGCGGCAUCCUGGACCGGCAUUGACGCUGAGGAGCGAAAGCGUGGGGAGCAAACGGG